CUUAACACAUGCAAGUCGCACGGUUAGGGCUUUCGGGUUCUGGCAGUGGCGGACGGGUGAGUAUCGCGUAGGGAUUUAUCGUUGGGUGGGGGACAACCGCGGGAAACUGCGGCUAAUACCGCAUGACGCCUUUGGGCCAAAGCCUGUGAGGGUGCCUGAUGAGGAGCCUGCGUCCGAUUAGCUAGUUGGUUGGGUAAUGGCUGACCAAGGCUAUGAUCGGUAGCUGGUCUGAGAGGAUGAUCAGCCACACUGGGACUGAGACACGGCCCAGACUCCUACGGGAGGCAGCAGUGGGGAAUAUUGGACAAUGGGCGCAAGCCUGAUCCAGCAAUGCCGCGUGGAUGAAGAAGGUCUUCGGAUUGUAAAGUCCUUUCGGCGGGGACGAUGAUGACGGUACCCGCAGAAGAAGCCCCGGCUAACUUCGUGCCAGCAGCCGCGGUAAUACGAAGGGGGCUAGCGUUGCUCGGAAUGACUGGGCGUAAAGGGCGCGUAGGCGGAUUGGUCAGUCAGGCGUGAAAUUCCUGGGCUUAACCUGGGGGCUGCGUUUGAGACGGCUGGUCUGGAGUGGGGAAGAGGGUCGUGGAAUUCCCAGUGUAGAG
rnacentral:rRNA from 1 species